rnacentral:lncRNA from 1 species
CCAAUUGUAGAGCCUACCCAUGGGGUUCCAUUAAUCAGAGAUACCUGUCGUUUACCCGUUAUGCUGAUCCAUCUGAGAACACUUUGAACCUGUGAUCCUAAACAUGUCACUACCUUCAUACACAUAUCAUUGCAUUUUCAUUCAUCAUCAUACAUUUCAUAUCAUUUUCCACACAAAAAUAAAUACAAAAAAACUCAUCCA